rnacentral:rRNA from 1 species
CAGGCCUAACACAUGCAAGUCGAGGGGUAACAGGGAAGAGCUUGCUCUUUCGCUGACGACCGGCGCACGGGUGCGUAACGCGUAUACAACCUACCUUUUAGCGGGGAAUAGCCCAGGGAAACUUGGAUUAAUGCCCCAUAGUAUGGAGGUCUCACCUGAGACCAUCAUUAAACAUUUAUGGCCAUUAGAUGGGUAUGCGUCCUAUUAGUUAGUUGGUAAGGUAACGGCUUACCAAGGCAGCGAUAGGUAGGGGUCCUGAGAGGGAGAUCCCCCACACUGGUACUGAGACACGGACCAGACUCCUACGGGAGGCAGCAGUGAGGAAUAUUGGACAAUGGGCGAGAGCCUGAUCCAGCCAUGCCGCGUGCAGGAAGACUGCCCUAUGGGUUGUAAACUGCUUUUACAGAGGAAGAACCACCCCCACGUGUGGGGGUUUGACGGUACUCUGCGAAUAAGGAUCGGCUAACUCCGUGCCAGCAGCCGCGGUAAUACGGAGGAUCCAAGCGUUAUCCGGAAUCAUUGGGUUUAAAGGGUCCGUAGGCGGGCAGUUAAGUCAGUGGUGAAAGUCUUCCGCUCAACGGGAGAACUGCCAUUGAUACUGAUUGUCUUGAGUUAUUAUGAAGUGGUUAGAAUGAGUAGUGUAGCGGUGAAAUGCAUAGAUAUUACUCAGAAUACCGAUUGCGAAGGCAGAUCACUAAUAAUAUACUGACGCUGAUGGACGAAAGCGUAGGUAGCGAACAGGAUUAGAUACCCUGGUAGUCUACGCCGUAAACGAUGGUUACUAGCUGUUCGGAUCGAUUGAGAUCUGAGUGGUUAAGCGAAAGUGAUAAGU